rnacentral:lncRNA from 13 species
UUUUAGUUUAUUUCAAGAAAGGUUCUAUUUUACCAAAAUUUAGAGAUAUCUAUAUCCCACAGAUUCCAAAAUAUGCACAAAGAUCAUCAAAACCAGCUGGGACUGAGAAGUAACCACAGCUGCCCUCUGUCCCAGUAUUGCUUUCGAAUAUGGACCGUGUCGAAGACCUCAUCUCUCACCUGCCAAUUUCAGCAGCUUCCUUAUGAGUGCUCCUGAUUUGAGCACUUCCUCCUUACAACUGCCAGUUACCCAACUAAAAUGUAGGUGGGAGCAAGUGAGUCUCCUUCUUAAAGCACCAUUGUCUUCCUCUGGGCCACCAGAUCUCAUUGUUUAAGGCUGAGCAAAACCUCCGUUCUUCCAGGAAAGUUCCCUGGCCCCUUCAUAAUUGUUGGCCUGUCUCUUUCUCUGCAUUCUCAUAUUACCCAGGGUGUGUAGCUGUCAUAGCCGAUGGGGACCCUGAGUGAAAAUACUGAAGU